rnacentral:rRNA from 1 species
ACAGCAGCAGCCGCGGGAAUACGUAGGGUGCAAGCGUUAAUCGGAAUUACUGGGCGUAAAGCGUGCGCAGGCGGUUAUAUAAGACAGAUGUGAAAUCCCCGGGCUCAACCUGGGAACUGCAUUUGUGACUGUAUAGCUAGAGUACGGCAGAGGGGGAUGGAAUUCCGCGUGUAGCAGUGAAAUGCGUAGAUAUGCGGAGGAACACCGAUGGCGAAGGCAAUCCCCUGGGCCUGUACUGACGCUCAUGCACGAAAGCGUGGGGAGCAAACAGGAUUAGAUACCCCAGUAGUCCCUGUCUCUUAUAA